rnacentral:rRNA from 1 species
ACAUGACUCUCGGCAACGGAUAUCUCGGCUCUCGCAUCGAUGAAGAACGUAGCGAAAUGCGAUACCUGGUGUGAAUUGCAGAAUCCAGCGAACCAUCGAGUCUUUGAACGCAAGUUGCGCCCGGGGCCUUUGGGCCGAGGGAACGCCUGCCUGGGCGUCACGC